UACAGAGGGGGCAAGCGUUGUCCGGAAUUACUGGGCGUAAAGGGCGCGUAGGCGGCCUGUUAAGUCGAACGUGAAAUCCCCGGGCUCAACCCGGGAACUGCGUCCGAUACUGGCAGGCUUGAAUCCGGGAGAGGGAUGCGGAAUUCCAGGUGUAGCGGUGAAAUGCGUAGAUAUCUGGAGGAACACCGGUGGCGAAGGCGGCAUCCUGGACCGGUAUUGACGCUGAGGCGCGAAAGCCAGGGGAGCGAACGGG
rnacentral:rRNA from 1 species